UGGGUCUCCAGUCGGUACGUCUGGUUCAGGGUUGUU
rnacentral:rRNA from 1 species